rnacentral:rRNA from 1 species
AUUGAACGCUGGCGGCAUGCCUUACACAUGCAAGUCGAACGGCAGCACGGGAGCAAUCCUGGUGGCGAGUGGCGAACGGGUGAGUAAUAUAUCGGAACGUGCCCAGUCGUGGGGGAUAACGUAGCGAAAGCUACGCUAAUACCGCAUACGAUCUAUGGAUGAAAGCGGGGGAUCGCAAGACCUCGCGCGAUUGGAGCGGCCGAUAUCAGAUUAGGUAGUUGGUGAGGUAAAGGCUCACCAAGCCGACGAUCUGUAGCUGGUCUGAGAGGACGACCAGCCACACUGGGACUGAGACACGGCCCAGACUCCUACGGGAGCAGCAGUGGGGAAUUUUGGAC